AGAUACCCCUGGUGAAGCUUCGAAAAGAAAGAGGGGCAAGACCAAAAUGAACCAUGUUCAUAACAGCACUGAAAAAAAAAACUUGUCACCCUCAAUGAUAAAUUUCAACCUGUGUCGUGUGGAGGGAACAAUUCAAUUGCUGAAUUGAGCAACUUUUUUGGGACAACUCUUAGGCAAUUUGUGCGUCUUACUUGUGCUAGUUGGCAUGCAGUCCCCGAAAAGGACCUGCUGUGGGAGUAUGUCAAGGACAAGUAUAUUAUUCCGGAAGAGGCUAAAUCAUGGGUUUUUACAACCAUGAGUGAUCAGUUUAGGAGCCACAAAAGCCGAAUUAAGCGAAAUUAUUACACCAAGUAUGCAACGGAUGAGGAGAGGUUGGAGAAUAGGCCGAGGGACGUUUCUCUUGAAGACUGGAAGAUUCUCUUAGCUUAUUGGAGUGACGAAAAAGUUAAGGACACACCAAGAAAGAAUAUCAUUGCACAUCAAAAAGUAAGAGAGCCACAUACCACUGGGCCCAGGACUUUCGCGCAAGUUAUAUACAACAUGGUAAAAAAUAUAAUCACUAAUUAACAUGGUUUAAUUCUAAUCAUCCUGAAUAAUUGUUUAGA